UACGUAGGGCGCGAGCGUUGUCCGGAUUCAUUGGGCGUAAAGAGCUCGUAGGCGGCUUGGUAAGUCGGAUGUGAAACCUCCAGGCUCAACCUGGAGUCGCCAUCCGAUACUGCCAUGGCUAGAGUCCGGUAGGGGCCCACGGAAUUCCUGGUGUAGCGGUGAAAUGCGCAGAUAUCAGGAGGAACACCGGUGGCGAAGGCGGGUCUCUGGGCCGAUACUGACGCUGAGGAGCGAAAGCGUGGGGAGCAAACAGG
rnacentral:rRNA from 1 species